GGAAGGGUGGCGGAGCGGUUGAACGCACCGGUCUUGAAAACCGGCAUGUCCGCAAGGGCAUCGUGGGUUCGAAUCCCACCCCUUCCG
rnacentral:tRNA from 1 species